rnacentral:rRNA from 1 species
AGCAGCCGCGGUAAUACGGAGGAUGCAAGCGUUAUCCGGAUUCACUAGGUUAAAGGGUGCGUAGGCGGAAUAAUAAGUCAGUGGUGAAAUCUUGCGGCUCAACCGUAAAAUUGCCAUUGAUACUGUUAUUCUUGAGUAUGGUUGAGGUAGNCGGAAUGAGUAGUGUAGCGGUGAAAUGCUUAGAUAUUACUCAGAACACCGAUUGCGUAGGCAGCUUACCAAGCCAUCACUGACGCUGAGGCACGAAAGCGUGGGUAGCAAACAGGAUUAGAUACCCUGGUAGUCCACGCCGUAAACGUUGAUUACUCGUUGUUGGCAAUACACCGUCAGCGACUGAGCAAAAGCAUUAAGUAAUCCACCUGGGGAGUACGUCAGCAAUGAUGAAACUCAAAGGAAUUGACGGGGGCCCGCACAAGCGGAGGAACAUGUGGUUUAAUUCGAUGAUACGCGAGGAACCUUACCUGGGCUUAAAUGUUUAGUGAUCGACCGGGAGACCGGUUUUUCCUUCGGGACACUUUACAAGGUGCUGCAUGGUUGUCGUCAGCUCGUGCCGUGAGGUGUCGGGUUAAGUCCCAUAACGAGCGCAACCCCUAUCGCCAGUUGCCAGCACAUAAUGGUGGGAACUCUGGUGAAACUGCCGGUGCAAACCGUGAGGAAGGUGGGGAUGACGUCAAAUCAGCACGGCCCUUAUGUCCAGGGCUACACACGUGUUACAAUGGUCGGUACAACAGGAUGCCAAUCCGCAAGGAUGAGCUAAUCCCAAAAGCCGAUCUUAGUUCGGAUCGGAGUCUGCAAUUCGACUCCGUGAAGUUGGAUUCGCUAGUAAUCGCAGAUCAGCCAUGCUGCGGUGAUACGUUCCCGGGCCUUGUACACACCGCCCGUCAAGCCAUGGAAGCCGGGGGUGCCUGAAGUCCGUAACCGUAAG